CGGCUUUUCCCUGACGUUUCAGAGAAAAAACCAUUCGAAGGGAUCAACCGUUUCUGACGGCGACAGGUUUGAUACCUAUCCGUGAGUGGCUGAACUUUCGGAAGAACCAAAAAAAGACAAUCCAUCAUCCGCGACCCCUUACACGUUUCCCUUUUCAACCCAUGGCAGCUGUUCAAGGCUUUAAUGACAGGACAGUCGUAAAGUUUCUUCAGGGAAAGUCGGCAGUUCCAUGAACGCCUAGCAGGACGAUGCUCGAACGAGGGGCAAACAAGGAACCAAUAACACAGGAACAUCUCCGCGAUUCGUUUGCAUUCAUAAGUUUGCUUGCUUCGAAACUAGCUGUAAAGACUCUUCGAAUACAACGCAUUGCCGGAACGGAUGCUUCACCUUCUAAACUAACCCAAGCGGAACAGCACUAUAUGUAAUGUUGCAAACGACUAUGCAGCAGCUUCUUCCUCAGGAACAGCAGCAGUAACAACAAAAACAAGUGUGCUUCGUACACCGAAACAAUAAAUAACAUUAAUGUGAUACAAUCUAAGAGAGAGAAAGAUAAUAACCAGGAGAGGAUUAUCCAACUGGCUAGAGCUUGCUUUAGGUUCCGCUUGGCUUUACCUCACCCGCUGUUUUAUAUAUAUGUGUUUGUCUGGCUGCUGUUGUCAAGAGCAUUAAGCCAACUAGUAACGGUCAAGCUAUUGGCUAUUUAGCGAACAGCGCGUCGUGGCGCAUAGCGCCGAGCGUAACAGCUGAUUUAAUGUGGAGCCAACGAUAAAAGGCCCGGGUCGGGCAGUGUCGGUGAGCUACGCUGGUGCUUGGCUGGAACAUCUCUCGAUUGAGGAGCGAUAGCGAGAGAGGCAGAACGAUAAAACAAAUAAGCAUUAUGAGAAGGUUGCUUGACGGAAGGAGCUUGGUUGAUGAUAUUGCCGUAUCGACGACUGUCAACGAAUGGAUCUCUCGGUUUAGUGGUCUACGAGGUUGGCUGUGCGAUUACACAAAACCAAGGAUCGGGUACGACCGAAGUAAAAUUGUAUAGUGAAAGGCUAUAGCAUAUCUGGCAUGCUAAUGGAAAUUUAUACAUAUAUACCUCGUCUAGGG